UUGGAAGAGAGCCCAAAAAUUCCAAGAAUUCAGCAUUCCAAAAGGGCUAAAAUAGUGGAAAAGGGUUGUUGGAUCAAACAACUCUAGAUGAGAUAAUCUAAGAGGUAGAUGAGGAAGAAGGAUGGUUGACAAGAGCAAUGUGUAGUGAUAUAAUUGUAAAAAUCUAGAUCAUUUUGCAAGAGAGUGCAAUGCAAAUAAGAAAGAACCUCAAGAAGUUUAAGCUAGAGUUUCAAGACAAGAGUUUG
rnacentral:lncRNA from 1 species